rnacentral:rRNA from 1 species
GAAACUUCAAGGAAUUGACGGGGGCCCCGCACAAGCGGUGGAGCAUGUGGUUUAAUUCGAUGAUACGCGAGGAACCUUACCUGGGCUCAAAUGUAUGUUGACGUAUUCUGAAAGGGAUACUUCUUCGGACAAUAUACAAGGUGCUGCAUGGUUGUCGUCAGCUCGUGCCGUGAGGUGUCGGGUUAAGUCCCAUAACGAGCGCAACCCCUAUCAUUAGUUGCCAUCAGGUCAAGCUGGGGACUCUAAUGAAACUGCCUACGCAAGUAGUGAGGAAGGCGGGGAUGACGUCAAAUCAGCACGGCCCUUACGUCCAGGGCUACACACGUGCUACAAUGGCCGAUACAGAGGGCAGCUACCUGGUGACAGGAUGCAAAUCUCCAAAGUCGGUCUCAGUUCGGAUCGGAGUCUGCAACCCGACUCCGUGAAGUUGGAUUCGCUAGUAAUCGCGCAUCAGCCAUGGCGCGGUGAAUACGUUCCCGGGCCUU